UACGUAGGGGGCAAGCGUUGUCCGGAUUUAUUGGGCGUAAAGAGCGUGUAGGCGGCUAUACAGGUCCGCUGUGAAAACUCGAGGCUCAACCCCGAGACGUCGGUGGAAACCGUAUGGCUAGAGUCCGGAAGAGGAGAGUGGAAUUCCUGGUGUAGCGGUGAAAUGCGCAGAUAUCAGGAAGAACACCCGUGGCGAAGGCGGCUCUCUGGGACGGUACUGACGCUGAGACGCGAAAGCGUGGGGAGCAAACAGG
rnacentral:rRNA from 1 species